GUCUACAGCCAUACUACCCUGAACAAGCCCAAUCCCAUCUAAUCUCGGAAACUAAGCAGGGUCUGGCCUGGUUAGUACUUGAAUGGGAGACCACCUAGGAAGACCAGGUGCUGUAGGCA
rnacentral:rRNA from 1 species